UCCACGCUGUCACUACUCGGGUUAAGCUUUGUAGCACUUGCGUGUGUGAGGAUUCUGGUGUGUGGGGAGCCUUCUCAAUGAGAACGAGCUUCACCUGUCAUCUGAGACUUGGCACCAGAGGCGGCUCUUCCUCCCGGAACGCGGGGAACCGAGAGAGCAGCGGAGACCAGUGUGGCCCGCUGUAGGGGGCCGGCAGAAGCCCAUUCCUGGGAAUGGGCUGUACCGAGAGGGUCAGCUAGCCGCAGAGUGCUAGAGAGAGGGGCAGCGGAACGCAGUCAGGGGCUCGGAGCUUCGCAGCGUGCACGGGUUUGAAGCCUGGGGAGAAGUCGGGCGCGUUAACUGAACUGCAAGCGCUGCCGCAGCCACUCCGGGGCGGGACUUGUGAGUACUCCGCGUCGCCCGCGCUCGGACAGAAGCCAGAGGACUUCCAAAUCGGAGACGAGAGCCCUGCAACUACCUUUCCCUGCUCUUCCCACUUGCCGCAGGGACUGAGCGACCGCAGCCCUGCCCCUGACCACAGGAUGCAGGGCGAGGGCCAGAGCUGACCGGCACCGCCCCCUCCCGACCCAGGAGGUGGAGAUCCCGCGGGUCCAGCCAAACCCCACACCCAUUUUCUCCUCCCUCUGCCCCUAUAUCCCGGCACCCCCUCCUCCUAGCCCUUUCCCUCCUCCCGAGAGACGGGGGAGGAGAAAAGGGGAGUUCAGGUCGACAUGACUGAGCUGAAGGCAAAGGAACCUCGGGCUCCCCACGUGGCGGGCGGCGCGCCCUCCCCCACCGAGGUCGGAUCCCAGCUCCUGGGUCGCCCGGACCCUGGCCCCUUCCAGGGGAGCCAGACCUCAGAGGCCUCGUCUGUAGUCUCCGCCAUCCCCAUCUCCCUGGACGGGUUGCUCUUCCCCCGGCCCUGUCAGGGGCAGAACCCCCCAGACGGGAAGACGCAGGACCCACCGUCGUUGUCAGACGUGGAGGGCGCAUUUCCUGGAGUCGAAGCCCCGGAGGGGGCAGGAGACAGCAGCUCGAGACCUCCAGAAAAGGACAGCGGCCUGCUGGACAGUGUCCUCGACACGCUCCUGGCGCCCUCGGGUCCCGGGCAGAGCCACGCCAGCCCUGCCACCUGCGAGGCCAUCAGCCCGUGGUGCCUGUUUGGCCCCGACCUUCCCGAAGACCCCCGGGCUGCCCCCGCUACCAAAGGGGUGUUGGCCCCGCUCAUGAGCCGACCCGAGGACAAGGCAGGCGACAGCUCUGGGACGGCAGCGGCCCACAAGGUGCUGCCCAGGGGACUGUCACCAUCCAGGCAGCUGCUGCUCCCCUCCUCUGGGAGCCCUCACUGGCCGGCAGUGAAGCCAUCCCCGCAGCCCGCUGCGGUGCAGGUAGACGAGGAGGACAGCUCCGAAUCCGAGGGCACCGUGGGCCCGCUCCUGAAGGGCCAACCUCGGGCACUGGGAGGCACGGCGGCCGGAGGAGGAGCUGCCCCCGUCGCGUCUGGAGCGGCCGCAGGAGGCGUCGCCCUUGUCCCCAAGGAAGAUUCUCGCUUCUCGGCGCCCAGGGUCUCCUUGGCGGAGCAGGACGCGCCGGUGGCGCCUGGGCGCUCCCCGCUGGCCACCUCGGUGGUGGAUUUCAUCCACGUGCCCAUCCUGCCUCUCAACCACGCUUUCCUGGCCACCCGCACCAGGCAGCUGCUGGAGGGGGAGAGCUACGACGGCGGGGCCGCGGCCGCCAGCCCCUUCGUCCCGCAGCGGGGCUCCCCCUCUGCCUCGUCCACCCCUGUGGCGGGCGGCGACUUCCCCGACUGCACCUACCCGCCCGACGCCGAGCCCAAAGAUGACGCGUUCCCCCUCUACGGCGACUUCCAGCCGCCCGCCCUCAAGAUAAAGGAGGAGGAAGAAGCCGCCGAGGCCGCGGCGCGCUCCCCGCGUACGUACCUGGUGGCUGGUGCAAACCCCGCCGCCUUCCCGGACUUCCAGCUGGCAGCGCCGCCGCCACCCUCGCUGCCGCCUCGAGUGCCCUCGUCCAGACCCGGGGAAGCGGCGGUGGCGGCCUCCCCAGGCAGUGCCUCCGUCUCCUCCUCGUCCUCGUCGGGGUCGACCCUGGAGUGCAUCCUGUACAAGGCAGAAGGCGCGCCGCCCCAGCAGGGCCCCUUCGCGCCGCUGCCCUGCAAGCCUCCGGGCGCCGGCGCCUGCCUGCUCCCGCGGGACGGCCUGCCCUCCACCUCCGCCUCGGGCGCAGCCGCCGGGGCCGCCCCUGCGCUCUACCCGACGCUCGGCCUCAACGGACUCCCGCAACUCGGCUACCAGGCCGCCGUGCUCAAGGAGGGCCUGCCGCAGGUCUACACGCCCUAUCUCAACUACCUGAGGCCGGAUUCAGAAGCCAGUCAGAGCCCACAGUACAGCUUCGAGUCACUACCUCAGAAGAUUUGUUUGAUCUGUGGGGAUGAAGCAUCAGGCUGUCAUUAUGGUGUCCUCACCUGUGGGAGCUGUAAGGUCUUCUUUAAAAGGGCAAUGGAAGGGCAGCAUAACUAUUUAUGUGCUGGAAGAAAUGACUGCAUUGUUGAUAAAAUCCGCAGGAAAAACUGCCCGGCGUGUCGCCUUAGAAAGUGCUGUCAAGCUGGCAUGGUCCUUGGAGGGCGAAAGUUUAAAAAGUUCAAUAAAGUCAGAGUCAUGAGAGCACUCGAUGCUGUUGCUCUCCCACAGCCAGUGGGCAUUCCAAAUGAAAGCCAACGAAUCACUUUUUCUCCAAGUCAAGAGAUACAGUUAAUUCCCCCUCUAAUCAACCUGUUAAUGAGCAUUGAACCAGAUGUGAUCUAUGCAGGACAUGACAACACAAAGCCUGAUACCUCCAGUUCUUUGCUGACGAGUCUUAAUCAACUAGGCGAGCGGCAACUUCUUUCAGUGGUAAAAUGGUCCAAAUCUCUUCCAGGUUUUCGAAACUUACAUAUUGAUGACCAGAUAACUCUCAUCCAGUAUUCUUGGAUGAGUUUAAUGGUAUUUGGACUAGGAUGGAGAUCCUACAAACAUGUCAGUGGGCAGAUGCUGUAUUUUGCACCUGAUCUAAUAUUAAAUGAACAGCGGAUGAAAGAAUCAUCAUUCUAUUCACUAUGCCUUACCAUGUGGCAGAUACCGCAGGAGUUUGUCAAGCUUCAAGUUAGCCAAGAAGAGUUCCUCUGCAUGAAAGUAUUACUACUUCUUAAUACAACUUGGAGUCCUCCAUUGCAUCUGAGUAGACAUGAGCACUGAGUGAGAAGAGGUUUGGAGGUGAGGCCUGAACCUAUCAUGCAUCACGUCCACCUUCCACAGCCCACCUUAACUGCAGAAGAUGCUGUUCCUUUGGAAGGACUAAGAAGUCAAAGCCAGUUUGAAGAGAUGAGAUCAAGCUACAUUAGAGAGCUCAUCAAGGCAAUUGGUUUGAGGCAAAAAGGAGUUGUUUCCAGCUCACAGCGUUUCUAUCAGCUCACAAAA